AACGGCCGUACCAUGCUGAAUAUACCGGUUCUCGUUAGAUCACCGAAGUCAAGCAUCAUUGGGCGUGGUCAGUACUUGGGCGGGUGACCACCUGGGAACACCGCGUGCCGUU
rnacentral:rRNA from 1 species